rnacentral:rRNA from 1 species
CGAACGGGUGAGUAACACGUGAGUAACCUGCCCUUGACUUUGGGAUAACUUCGGGAAACCGGAGCUAAUACCGGAUAAUAUAUUGAACCGCAUGGUUCAAUAGUGAAAGACGGUUUUGCUGUCACUUAUAGAUGGAUCCGCGCCGCAUUAGCUAGUUGGUAAGGUAACGGCUUACCAAGGCAACGAUGCGUAGCCGACCUGAGAGGGUGAUCGGCCACACUGGAACUGAGACACGGUCCAG